UAGCAGAUAUGAUGUCUGGCAAAGGCUC
rnacentral:piRNA from 1 species